UAUGUUUCUGCUCCUUCAGAAUGAAAACUGUUAGCUUUCUGAAUCCUCCUAUUUAUCCAAGGUGAGGGAAGACUUUUUAAAGUGGCCAAAAGGAGCACAGGACUUGAGUAUUAAAAUAUAAAGGUGGCCCCCAUUCCAGAUCUUUGGUACAGUCAUCAACUAUAAUAAUCUGAUUGCCCACCCCACCAAAACAUAGCACAUUUUGUAAUUAGAAGUGAUUUUGAUUUUCCUUUUGACCAUGUAAACAAUAGGGGAAAUGCCUUGGGAAACUACUUUGCAAUGCACUCUCAUUUCUCUUAAAUACACAACCAGUUCUCCCUUUGAUAAGUUCAUGGGAGGAAAGAAUAGUGUAGGCCAAGGUUAUCGCUUUCGCUCCCCUCUCUGUGUCCUUUUUUUUUCCUUUUCCUUGCGCUCCUGCUUGGCUAGUUUGUCUCUCUCCCUCUGCAGCUUGUCCUGUUCCUUCUUCCUUUGGGAUUCAUCCCGAAGUGAGUCUCGCUCCAGUUUUCGGGCAUUAAGGACAUCUUCCACAUUGGUGUUUCGGAACAGAACUACAGAAACAGCUCCAAAUAAUGAUGGACUGAUCAAGAAGCUGGUACCAAGAAGUCUCGAAGUUAUUUCAACAGCUUCAUGGAGUGUUUGGAAACUUCCCAGCUGUAAAUAAAAACUACCUUAAAUUGCCUGCCUCCUACUCUUUCUCCCUAUAAUCUGUAAUGUUGUGGUCCAAAAAAAGAACUGAUUCCACUGUCUUGUAUUU
rnacentral:lncRNA from 1 species